UACGUAGGUGGCAAGCGUUGUCCGGAUUUAUUGGGUUUAAAGGGUGCGUAGGCGGUUAUUUAAGUCAGUGGUGAAAGUUUUCGGCUCAACCGGAAAUUGCCAUUGAUACUGGGUAGCUAGAAUAUGGUUGCUGUGAGUGGAAUUUCCUGUGUAGCGGUGAAAUGCGUAGAUAUAGGAAGGAACACCAGUGGCGAAGGCGGCUACCUGGACCAACACUGACACUGAGGUGCGAAAGCGUGGGGAGCAAACAGGAUUAGAUACCCCGGUAGUCCCUGAG
rnacentral:rRNA from 1 species